rnacentral:rRNA from 1 species
UACGUAGGGGGCAAGCGUUGUCCGGAAUUAUUGGGCGUAAAGAGCGCGUAGGCGGUCCGGUAAGUCAGCUGUGAAAGUCAAGGGCUCAACCCUUGAAAGCCGGCUGAUACUGCCGGACUAGAGUCCGGAAGAGGCGAGUGGAAUUUCCGGUGUAGCGGUGAAAUGCGUAGAUAUCGGAAGGAACACCAGUGGCGAAAGCGGCUUCCUGGUCCGACACCGACGUUCAGGCACGAAAGCGUGGGGAGCAAACAGG